GGAUGGGAGUGCAAUCUGGCCACAACGUCUGUCACCCCAUCGAUCACAAGGGUUGAUUCAGCUGACCUGGCUGCUUGGCAGGUAUCCCCUGCCUCCCCUAAUGCUCCAUGUGUGUCCCUCACAAAGCUGAGCUCUUGGUAGAAGACAAGUGCCCCAGAUAGAGGAGAAUCAUUCCUCCAUCAAGAGUAUAUGAGUAGCUGCCCUCCCCUGCUAGAACCUCCAAAAAGCUUUCCAGGAGAAGAGGUCUAAUUGGCUCAGUUUGAGAACAGCUGUUCU
rnacentral:snRNA from 1 species